rnacentral:lncRNA from 1 species
CUCUUGAAGAACUAAUCGGGUCAUUAAUGACCUACGAAAUGACUUGCAAAGCUCAUGAAGAGCAAGAAGACAUCCUUCCAAAGAACAGGAAGGAUAUGACACUUAGAACUUUGGAAGACUACUUGAAAGAAAACUCAAGUGAUAAGGACUGUGACGAUGACUUGGCACUUCUAACAAGAAAAUUUAAAAAAUUCAUUAAAAGAAACAAG